CUUCUAAUGCAGAUCAUUUCAGUAGUAUUAUCAUAACUUCUAACGCAGAUCAUUUCAGUAGUGUUAUCAUAACAACUUCUAAUGCAGAUCAUUUCAGUAGUAUUAUCAUAACUUCUAACGCAGAUCAUUUCAGUUGUAUUAUCAUAACAACUUCUAAUGCAGAUCAUUUCAGUAGUGUUAUCAUAACAACUUCUAAUGCGGAUCAUUUCAGUAAUAUUAUCAUAACGACUUCUAAUGCAGAUCAUUUCAGUAGUGUUAUCAUAACAACUUCUAAUGCAGAUCAUUUCAGUAGUGUUAUCAUAACAACUUCUAAUGCAGAUCAUUUCAGUAAUAUCAUAACUUCUAACGCAGAUCAUUUCAGUAGUGUUAUCAUAACAACUUCUAAUGCAGAUCAUUUCAGUAGUGUUAUCAUAACAACUUCUAAUGCAGAUCAUUUCAGUAGUGUUAUCAUAACAACUUCUAAUGCAGAUCAUUUCAGUAGUAUUAUCAUAACAACUUCUAAUGCAGAUCAUUUCAGUAGUGUUGUCAUAACAACUUCUAAUGCAGAUCAUUUCAGUAAUAUUAUCAUAACAACUUCUAAUGCAGAUCAUUUCAGUAGUGUUGUCAUAACAACUUCUAAUGCAGAUCAUUUCAGUAGUAUUAUCAUAACAACUUCUAAUGCAGAUCAUUUCAGUAGUGUUGUCAUAACAACUUCUAAUGCAGAUCAUUUCAGUAGUAUUAUCAUAACAACUUCUAAUGCAGAUCAUUUCAGUAGUGUUGUCAUAACAACUUCUAAUGCAGAUCAUUUCAGUAAUAUUAUCAUAACAACUUCUAAUGCAGAUCAUUUCAGUAGUGCUAUCAUAACAACUUCUAAUGCAGAUCAUUUCAGUAAUAUCAUAACUUCUAACGCAGAUCAUUUCAGUAGUGUUAUCAUAACAACUUCUAAUGCAGAUCAUUUCAGUAGUGUUAUCAUAACAACUUCUAAUGCAGAUCAUUUCAGUAGUGUUGUCAUAACAACUUCUAAUGCAGAUCAUUUCAGUAGUAUUAUCAUAACAACUUCUAAUGCAGAUCAUUUCAGUAGUGUUGUCAUAACAACUUCUAAUGCAGAUCAUUUCAGUAAUAUUAUCAUAACAACUUCUAAUGCAGAUCAUUUC
rnacentral:lncRNA from 1 species